ACGAACGCUGGCGGCGUGCCUAAUACAUGCAAGUCGAGCGGAAUGAUGAAGAAGCUUGCUUCUUCUGAUUUUAGCGGCGGACGGGUGAGUAACACGUGGGCAACCUACCUUGUAGAUUGGGAUAACUCCGGGGAACCGGGGCUAAUACCGAAUAAUCCAUUUUGCUUCAUGGCGAGAUGUUGAAAGACGGUUUCGGCUGUCACUACAAGAUGGGCCCGCGGCGCAUUAGCUAGUUGGUAGGGUAAUGGCCUACCAAGGCGACGAUGCGUAGCCGACCUGAGAGGGUGAUCGGCCACACUGGGACUGAGACACGGCCCAGACUCCUACGGGAGGCAGCAGUAGGGAAUCUUCCACAAUGGACGAAAGUCUGAUGGAGCAACGCCGCGUGAGUGAAGAAGGUUUUCGGAUCGUAAAACUCUGUUGUAAGGGAAGAACACGUACGAGAGUAACUGCUCGUACCUUGACGGUACCUUAUUAGAAAGCCACGGCUAACUACGUG
rnacentral:rRNA from 1 species